rnacentral:lncRNA from 1 species
GUAGUCUUUUAAGAUUUUCGUUUAGGGGAGAUUUUCUCUCUUAUUAGUUUUAUAUUUAUAAUAUUAGGUUUUAUAUGUAGACCAAUUGGCCAAAUCAUAUAAUAAAAUUAUGUUUUUAGUAUUGUUUUUCAUUGUCAUCUUAUUUAUCGUCUCAUAGUUUGCAACUAAUAGCUUCCGCAUAACGCCCUCUCGAUUUCGAACCCAACAAGUGAUAUCAGAGCUUACGGUUCAAGGGUCCAAUGGUGUGGUAAGACAAAAUUAAACAGGUUCAAAGCGGUUUCAAAAUCAAACUGCAACAAUUUGGGUGAUAAUGAAGAUUUUUGUCCAACUACACGUGGAGAACAAGUUUCAACCAUAUUUUCAACAUUCCUAUUGCUGCAUCUUUAAAAAUAAAAAUAAAAUAUUAAUUUUUAACUUAUUUUAAAUCAUGAUAUUUUAAACCUUAUUUUUAACCAUGCCAAGCAAUAGUUAUGAAGAUUAUAUCAAGAACGAAGUUCAUGCAUGUUAUGUGAAGAAGGC